CAGUCGCCGCGGGAAUACGAGGGGUGCAAGCGUUAUUCGGAUUGAUUGGGUGUAAAGCGCGCGCAGGCGGAUAGGUCAGUCUGUCUUAAAAGUUCGGGGCUUAACCCCGUGAUGGGAUGGAAACUGCCAAUCUAGAGUAUCGGAGAGGAAAGUGGAAUUCCUAGUGUAGCGGUGAAAUGCGUAGAUAUUAGGAAGAACGCCAGUGGCGAAGGCGACUUUCUGGACGAAAACCGACGCUGAGGCGCGAAAGCCAGGGGAGCGAACGGGAUUAGAUACCCGCGUAGUCCCUGUCUCUUAUACA
rnacentral:rRNA from 1 species